CUGCUUGAUUCAGCAGCACAUAUAUUAAAAUUGGAAUGAUACAGAGAUUUGCAUGGCCCCUAUGCAACCAUGAUACACAAAUUUGUGAAGUGUUCCAUAUUUAA